AGUGAACGUUGGCGGUAGGCCUAACACAUGCCAGUCGAACGGCAGCACAGUAAGAGCUUGCUCUUACGGGUGGCGAGUGGCGGACGGGUGAGGAAUACAUCGGAAUCUACUUUUUCGUGGGGGAUAACGUAGGGAAACUUACGCUAAUACCGCAUACGACCUACGGGUGAAAGCAGGGGAUCUUCGGACCUUGCGCGAUUGAAUGAGCCGAUGUCGGAUUAGCUAGUUGGCGGGGUAAAGGCCCACCAAGGCGACGAUCCGUAGCUGGUCUGAGAGGAUGAUCAGCCACACUGGAACUGAGACACGGUCCAGACUCCUACGGGAGGCAGCAGUGGGGAAUAUUGGACAAUGGGCGCAAGCCUGAUCCAGCCAUACCGCGUGGGUGAGGAAGGCCUUCGGGUUGUAAAGCCCUUUUGUUGGGAAAGAAAAGCAGCAGGUUAAUACCCCGCUGUUCUGACGGUACCCAAAGAAUAAGCACCGGCUAACUUCGUG
rnacentral:rRNA from 1 species